GACAGGGGCCUCGAGCGUUAGGCGGAAUCACUGGGCUUAAAGCGUGUGUAGGCGGAUCGUUAAGUACCUUGUGAAAUCCCACGGCUCAACCGUGGAACGGCUGGGUAUACUGGCGGUCUUGGGCCAUUCAGGGGCGACUGGAACAAGCGGUGGAGCGGUGAAAUGCGUAGAUAUCGCUUGGAACGCCGAAGGUGAAAACAGGUCGCUGGGGAUGUGCCGACGCUGAGACACGAAAGCCAGGGGAGCAAACGGG
rnacentral:rRNA from 1 species